AAUAAUGCAUUCUCUCAUCUCAUUUUUUAAAAGAUAUGCAGUAUCUCAUUGUACCGAUCUCUUUAAUCAACUGUUUCCUUACAUUUAGCUUGAUUUAAAAACAACUCAUAAUCAUUUGCUGCUAUGAGACUCUUUGUAGCUAUAUUUUGUUCAAACCUCUUUGUAGCUCUAUUUU